UGAGAGAUGAGGAAGUGCUAAAAGGGCCUGCAGGCAGCAGUUUGGCCUCUGGUAGACCCUCCGGGAUUUAUGAUUCACAGUGGUGGGCGAUGGCGAAAGGAAGGACAAAGACCUUUUUUAAGAGAGCAGGAAAAGAAAAGAAAGAUAAACAGAAAAGACGUAUGAGGGCUGCAAAAGCGGCUACGGAGGCAUUUUAAUUUGGAGAAUCAAGGAAUGGAUUUUAAUGAAGAAAUUAAAGAAGUCAAAAAGGAAAUGGCUGAUCAGAUGGAGUCAAUUAACAGAGGGGUGAUUUUAAGAAUCCCCCAAGACAUUUUCAGAACUGGACAGAGCAGUGUUUUACUUUCUGUGGGGGUCCAAGUGGGAGAGGCUGAAGAGAGACGUGGUGAAGAAGAGGCCGGAGAAUGGAGGGAAAACCCUUCCGGACCCAUACCUGUUUUUGGGGAGCAAGUUUGUGGCGUAGCAUCUGAGAUAUGCCAGAACCCCCCCCACACACACAAAUAAGGCUGGUGCAGUUCUGGAUGGGGUCCUACCUGAGGACGUUGGGAAUAUUAAAGGACCAGGAGGAAGUGAGCCCUAUACUUAGGCUCACAAAAGGGGAGGCCCAGCAAGUAUGGAAGAGCGCGGUUCACCCGGCCCUCAAAAACAGAGACAAGGAAUCGGCUUGGAUGGCGGUGCAUGAUAUUCUCCCGGUUAUGGCUGUGAUGCACUCCCGGGGCAUAGCGGCGACAGCAACGUGUCCACGUGUGGGGUGUGGUGAACCAGACACAGUGAGACACGUGUUCUGGGAGUGCAGGGUGGCAAGGGACCUGUGGGCCAUGAUCGGCCCCCUACAAUGCCCGAGCCUGCAGCAGGGGAGGGUUCUCCCACGAGUUUACCGGUUAGCGGUAAACGGGGUGGGCCAGGGUGUGGAAAAGUUACCGGCAAAAGAAUUUGAGGCACUCUGGCUCACCCUUAUUAGUGUGAAAGCCGCCUUAUGGACCUCCCGUGAUCUGUUGGUGGGGAAGCAUGUGACAGUACCACUGCAUGCCACAUUAAGACUGCUAACAUUCACGCUGCAGGGGGCACCGGACAUAGCCAUUCGGAGGAGGGGGCCGGAGCCACAUGCAGGGGGUCCCUGCCACCACAGACCUUGGCCCCCGUAGAUGUACCCUGAGGGAAGAGGUAGCCUGAGAGGGACAGCGAGCAAGGGGAGGAUAUCCACUGGCCCCAGGAAACUACAAUAGGAGGCUGGGGAGCCGCAUAGGAGAAGUUAUGGCCUCCCCCCCUUUUUAUCCUCCUUGGUCCUGAAAGGAAGAUGGUUUUGAAUGGAAAUAGAGACAAUGUGUUUUAGAAUAAUGGGAAUUUUUUAUAGGGAAUUUAGUAGGGUUUUUUUUAUUAGUUUAUCGCUGUGUUAAUUUUAUGGUUGUGUGUUAUUGUCUUUAUUGUUUUAUCGUUUUUAUUGUUUUAUCUUUAUUGAUUAUCUAUGUUGGGCUUAAUUAAGUUUCACUGCUCUUAAAAAGUACCAUGGUUUUUAAGACAGGGGAACACGGUUUUAGUUUUUCGGCUCUACCACUAGGUAAAUGGCUUAUGUUCAAAAAGAAGGAUGAGAUUUAAUUCCUUUGUUUUAAUACUUUUUCAUGAGGAAAAGAGAGAAUGCAUGAAAAACAGCCUAAAUGAAGGCAAUACAAAAAUGUAUAUAUGGAAUUUGUGACAAUUAAACAUUAAAAAAAAAAAAAAUAGCUGGCUAGGGACGCAAAUAUCUGGACCGAGGUCGAAGAUUCCAGAGACAGUCACCUUUCCUUCGUACACACUGAAGCACCCUGCGGGCCCUGACUGGAUUCCCCAUUCCUUUAUGUAACUGUGCACAUCUUAGUUAUAAGCAGCGUGUUUGUCCUCAGCACCCAGCCAAGCACAAUGCUCAGCCCAACGUGUCUGAGGUUCACCACGGCUCAUGUUUCCUAGACCCACCCAGUCCUUCUUUUUCAUGGCUACAGCUUUUCAUUCUUUUUACAACCGCACUACAGCAUUUCUCUCUUCAACCUGAUAUGCGUCUUAAUUUAUUUUCUAAUAUAGACCCUGAUAUUAACUUCUCAGACAAGUUUAUUAAUAAUGCAAUUAGAAACUAUAAAUAUCACACAUAAAUCAUUUACAAAUCUGUGUGAAAAAAACCACAAUUCUUUUUCUCUGUUUCGCUAAACGCACGUAGUCUUACAAAGCAGUCUGACUCUUUGCUGCAGUAUAUUGUCUACGCAAUUUGGCUUCUCUGAAACUUGGUGGAAUUAUCAUAAAUCUAUGUGGAAGAGUGUCUCUGUUUAUUAAGAACAUUAUUUUCUUGAGCGCCGUGAUCUAGCAACACUGCUGUCAGUGAGUCAGAGGAGGUGAUUACUGAGCUGAAGAAUUUUUUGUGUAAUACAAAUUAUAUACUUGGUUUUAUUUAUGGGCCUUCAGUUAAACAGCUAUACAUUUGUUAUGUCCACCUGUGUGUGUCUGUCUUCCCUGUGUUCCAGGUUUUUCUUCUCACUCUCCAUUGUCCCCCAUCCAGAUCCAUGCCAGGUUUUCUAGUGAGCUGAGGACCAUAUAAAAGGAAGAGGAGAGAUUGUGGUUGCUGGUGUUGCUUAGAUUUGUGUGUAUGACUUUGGGUUCUCCCCUUAACUCAGAGCUUAAGCUUUGUCCCUUAUUGGUUUCGUUGCUGGUUAAUAAAUGUCUCUUGUAUCUUGUAUAUAUUGUCCUGUAUAUAGUAGCUACACACUGGUGGUAGGGAGUGGCUGCCAUUUAGUUUGGGUGUGGAUUUAUCUGUGUUUAUAUCACUAUAGUCAUUGUAGUCAUUGUAUGUUUCUUUUUGUUAGCUUAGUCAGUUGUCUUUGUGUUUCUAGUGUGGUUUUGUGUAUGUUUGCCUGGGCCACUCCUGAAGCAAUUGGACUAGUUUCUUGUAUAUUUCUGUACCUGAACACCAAAACUUGCAAAUACACUUGA